rnacentral:lncRNA from 1 species
GAACUUGAUCGAAUUGGAGAUCGUCAGAGCUCGUAUCACACUAUCAUAAUCAUCUCGGUAUUGUGUGUUUUUCAAAAUGUUUAAACUAUGGCAUGUAUAGAGUCUUAAUCAUUUUGAGUAUGUCCAUAUGAUAUGACUAAGAUUAGUUAUUGAAAUGGUUGAUAAAGAUUAUGUUUUGAUAUUAUGUAUGUGUAAAUGGUAGUUAAUACAAAGAAGCAGUUU